UCCAGGUGGGGUCUUACGAGAGUGGGAUAGAGGGGGAGAAUCAACUCCCUUGACCUGCCAGCCACACUUCUUUGGAUGCAGCCCAGGAUACGGUUGGCUUUCUGCGGUGCAAACACUUUGCU